rnacentral:lncRNA from 10 species
GAGAUGGAGUCUUGCUCUGCUGCCCAGGCUGGAGUGCAGUGGCGCAAUCUCAGCUCACUGCAAUCUCCACCUCCCGGGUUCAACAAUUCUCGUGCCUCAGCCUCCCAAGUAGCUGGGACUACAGGCAUGUGCCACUAUGCCCCAUUAUGUAUUUUUAGUAGAGAUGAGAUUUCACCAGAUUGGCCAGGCUGGUCUCGAACUCCUGACCUCAAAUGAUCUGCCUGCCUCGGCCUCCCAAAGUGUUGGGAUUAUAGGCAUGAGCCACCAUGCCCGCCCGCUUCGUCUUUUCACUGGACUAAUGAAGAUACAGGUGUGGAAUGGUUUCACAGCAUGCCCAACCUCAUGAGGCUUGUUGGGUCAGAGCUUGUGCCAGAUGCCAGUCUUCUGCCUUCCAGUCUUAUAGUUGUUACGCUAUAGCCUUCUGCAGUGGAUGGUAACGUGGCCAAAAUAAGCCUUUGGUUUUGGAGUAUUCGUAAAAUGAAAGUGGUGCCAUCUACCUUAAUGCUGGGGGAAUAUAUUUCAAUUGACUCAAGUCUUCAUUGCUGAAUGAUAUCUUAAAAAAAAAAAAGUAUUUUGCCUGAUAUUUUCACAGUUGUUCUGCUUGAAAUGUAAAAUUCCAAUUUCUAAAUGUAAUACCAAGAUUUAUCCUAAAUUAACAAUAAGCAGUGUUUCUAAUAGCUUUUCAUAUAUGUCUGUGUGUAUAAUCUUCAAAUAGGAAAGCAUAUUGUGCGUGAGGUUUCACUCAUUGAGAACCUCUGAAAUGUCUUUCUUUGCCCCCUUUAAAAAAAACCAUGAUUUUCCAGGUGUUUGUGUUUAUGUUUUUGCUAGGGAGAUGAAAGUAGUUUUUGUUUCUUCAUUAGCGUAGGAUGUGUACAUUGAAAGCCAUGUUCCCUUGUAGAAAGAAAAAUGCUGUUGCCUUUUGGGUUGAUUCUAUUAUCUGAUGUUUUAUUAAUCUCUGUGAAAUAAUUGUGUAAAUUAAUAUAGAGACUAGUUGAGAAAUGGUGGAUAACAUGAAGAAGAUACCCAUUUUUGCAUAGAUUAGAUGUGAUCAACCUCACACUAUCAUAUGAAAGUUGGCUGCAUUGGAGAGACAGGAAUUAAUAUUAAAAAUGUUUUCAGUUCAGAUUGAUAUCUUACAUUUCCAAAUAUUAUUUUCUUUUGAAUAUGUGGUAUAAGUAAUCUGCUUUAAGUCCUAUUUUAGGUUGGGUGCAGUGGCUCACACCUGUAAUCCCACCAUUUUGGAAGGUUGAGACCAGGAGUUUGAGACCAGCCUAGGCAACAGAGUGAGACCCCAUCUUUAUAGAAAAUAAAAA